ACGGGAGGCAGCAGUCGGGAAUAUUGCGCAAUGGAGGAAACUCUGACGCAGUGACGCCGCGUAUAGGAAGAAGGUUUUCGGAUUGUAAACUAUUGUCGUUAGGGAAGAUACAAGACAGUACCUAAGGAGGAAGCUCCGGCUAACUACGUGCCAGCAGCCGCGGUAAUACGUAGGGAGCAAGCGUUAUCCGGAUUUAUUGGGUGUAAAGGGUGCGUAGACGGGACAACAAGUUAGUUGUGAAAUCCCUCGGCUUAACUGAGGAACUGCAACUAAAACUAUUGUUCUUGAGUGUUGGAGAGGAAAGUGGAAUUCCUAGUGUAGCGGUGAAAUGCGUAGAUAUUAGGAGGAACACCGGUGGCGAAGGCGACUUUCUGGACAAUAACUGACGUUGAGGCACGAAAGUGUGGGGAGCAAACAGGAUUAGAUACCCUGGUAGUCCACACCGUAAACGAUGGAUACUAGGUGUAGGAAAUGAUUUUAUUUUCUGUGCC
rnacentral:rRNA from 1 species